rnacentral:lncRNA from 1 species
GCCCCGAACCCAACACCCGGGUCGGAUACGUGGUGGCCGCACACUCCUUAGAGCAAGCCCUAAAGAAUAUGCAAGGCCAAAAUAAAUCAUUACAACCUUAACAUCCAUAACAAUUAAUUUCAAUAAUAAUUCAUAAAACCUUGCAUAAUUACAAUUUAAAUUUCUUCAAUUCUCUGAUCAGAUACUAUGACACUAUUUAUCCUUCUGCUCA